GCAAAGGAAGACUUUGCCAACUUGCAUAACUAUAGAACGACUCGCAGAUCGAUCUACCUCCCAAGAGUCACUAUUAAUAUAUAUAUAUAUAUAUAUCAAGAACCGAGAAAUAUAUAUGAUUACUCCAUAUAUAUAGUGUGUACUCUUUGCUAGGUAGGAGUAGAUCGAUCGAGCCAGUCGCCCAGUGCUGCUCCUGCAGCGAUGGCGGAGGCAGCCGGGACGAGGGCUUCACAGCAGCAGGAGGAAGCAGCUGGGAUUGAGAACGGAGGAGGCAAGGACCAGCUGCCAGAAGAUACAAGUAAGUUAAACAUAACAGUCCUCUGGCUUGCAAUCUACUUUAGGUUGAUGGACGGCUUCGGGAAGCUGGCACUUGCCUGGGCCACCGUUGUGCUGCUAGGUGGAUUCUCCACCCUGAUAAAGCCCAAGGACUUUUGGUUCGUCACCAUCAUCGUGGUCAUGCAAAUAACAAGGGUUUUUGGCGGUUCCCAGAAACCCGAGGAUCAACUCUUUAUUCGGGUACCACUCUCGAUGCUGCACCGUGACGAACUUACGCAUGUUGGACUCGGAAGUUGGCGGAAGAACACAAUAAAGAACGGAGAGGCCAGCAAAGGCUCGUCAAGCGUACGACAGAAUCAACGCAAUGUCCUAGUUCGCAUGUUUUGCCCAAAGCGCCAUGUCAAGAUGACCAUAUUCCAGACAACCCUGACAUGGAUGGAGGCAGCUGCACUCGUCGCUUGCAUCUUCAUAUCGUUCCGGCGUUUACUCAAGCAAGACUACGUCGAUCCAAAAGACAAAGUUAAGGAUGACCACAAGAACAUUAGAGGUUCCCUGAAUGUCUUCUAUGGGCUGGCCCUUGCCCAUAGCAUGUCCUACUACAUCUUGAUUGUUGCGUUCCAGUUUUUAGUGGCUCCAUUGGUAAGGUUGGUCCAUUCUAGUUACAAGCUUCAUGACUGGGGCAUGGAUGCAGUUUCUGAGUAUACAGCCAAAAAGCUUUGGGCAUUCAUUAGGUAUAAUGUUAGGGAAGCUCUCGAGAUGAAUUUGAUCACCUUUGGAAAGGAGCUGGCACGAUCCGAUUCAAUUGAUGACCAGUUGAAAGGAGUUAGGAUUCUUGAUUACAUCAUAAGAUGGGAGAAGCAGCACUUAUCUAGAGCAGGUGUUCUUGACAUCUACAAGAUUGAGAAGUACAAAGGGAGGGUGCUUACAAGUAUUCGAGCUUCCACUGAGACACUAGAGAGAGUGGUGAAUAUGCUGGGGCUGAAUUUGAAGAGCCUAGAAGAGGAAGAAACUAGAGGUCAUGCAGCAUCCAUAGUGCUUGAACUUGCUCCAUACCUCCUAUUCGAGAAUUUGCCUGCAAUGCCACAGCUUAUAGCCUCACUACUAACGACAGGCCGAGAGAGGAUCAAUGAAGGCCCCCAUGACAUAAAUAGUGUGGAGCUCACUUGUUAUGGUGUGAAAAUUCUUGAAAGGCUUGUAGAGAAUCCAGAUAACCGCAGAUCUGUGGCUGAUGCCAAUGUCGUUUUGUCGAAAAUUGUAGAACUGCUAAACUUCAGAGAUGAUUGUAAGGUACCUGUUCCAGAUGAAACUGAGAAUAGAAGCCAAGAAGAGAUAGUUGAGGCCUCACUAAAUGUCCUGCACAAGCUAGUUAGCACUACUGGUGAGACUGGCGAAGCUCUACGAAGCACCAUUUCCAAGAAUUCUGAGAUCAUGAGCAACAUCAGAAAAAUCCUGUAUCAGCAUGAUAACAAGAACAGUAGUUUAUCUGUUCAUGCUGUAAAAAUCCUUUCUUGCUUAGCGAUGCAUGAGACUGCUAGAGAAGUGAUUGGAAGUUCUUGCCAGAUCGUCAGGAAGCUUGUUUCGUCGGUUCUUCCAAGGCCUAUGGAUAUUGUUCAAGAUGGCAACAAUGGAUCCACAGUUGCUGACUCAGCCGCACAGGCAUUAGUUCUGCUAAGUACUGGGAGUGAAUACAACAGGGCAACCAUCCUUGAUAAAAUUAAUCUGGAAGAGCUUGUCGGCAUGCUCUUUGAUGCUUCCAUGGAGCAAAGGAUUAUGAUAGCACAUCUGCUUAAACAUUUGCGGACGUAUUCAGGCCCAGGUUAUGGAAACCAACUGAAGAAAGUAAUUGACGGUUCUCUGCCAAAGUUAUUGGAAGAAAUCAAAGUUGCAGUUCAGAAGCUCGAUAAUCCUGAAUUCCCUGAUGGACAACCUUCUCAUGACCUGAAAGAACUGAAAGCUGAAGAAGGCAAACUACUAGACAGCUUUAUUGGCCUCAGCUCACAGAUUUGCCACUCCUUGCAAGCCAUUGAUUUUGAUAAGGCUCUACAGAGUGCCAACCUUACAAUGGAUACGUAUGCUCAAGAUGGUACUGAGCGUGUGCAAAUCUCCUACCACCGAUUUCCCGGGGAUAAGAAGAGUAACACUCAGUCAGAUGAAAUGGCUGAUAAAAAAUAACGAAGAUUACGUUGGGGUGUUCAAGAGGUAUGAAAUGGACAAGGCGCUGAAGGAAGUGGCAGAGACAGCAACUGAGCUCGAGAGCUUCGAGCUAUUCUGCAGUGGUUCUGGUGUUGGCAAGCAUGAUGAGCCCAUCUCUUCUGCUGUCAGAUCUACUUUGGCGCUGCUUGCAGGAGAUUCAGCAUAAUGAUAACAUUGAUUACUGCGUUUGAAGGUAUCAAGGAUCAAGCUGUCGACGAGUGAUACUUGUAUACCGGAUGAUUAGGGUAUUGGGAUAUGUUGGAACGAGGAUCUACGUAAUACGACAUCAAGCAGACAAAAGACAAGGAUUAUACUGGUUCGGGCCCCUUAUCAGGUUGUAUUCGAUCUACUACGUACCACACCUUAUUUUCUACUAUGCUCGUCCGACCAGUAUAAAAUGGGGGUGAUGCCACCCCAGUGUUGAUGCAACGAGAAGACAGAUCUAAGAAAUAAAUUACCAACACUCCCGAUCAAUGUCUCACAAACCCGAUCAAAAAUGUGCGACGCACCAAGAUUGCGACGCCAUGGCAGUGCCACCAAAAAAUGAUGCAGAGGCAUUUGAUCAGCCUGAUCCAAAUGAUGAGAGGCUGCCGGAAGAGAAGCUCAACACCAUGGCCGUACGCAUUGCGUUCUUCUACAGGGUGAUGAACGGUUGUGGUGCACUGGCUUUCGCAUGGGCCACGGUGGUGUUGCUAGGUGGAUACGCUACCCUCAUCAAACAGAAGGAUUUCUGGUUCGUGACCAUCAUCGUCUUCAUGGAAGCAACCUGGCUGCAUGGCACGGAUCAGGAUCGUCUGCCUUCACGGGGUAACUGCACGAGCGUGCAGUCAGCACACAUCCACCGUCCGAGCCAUCCAACGGCUAUCGCGUGACGUGUACCCUUAAACAACCAGCCCAGGAAAGCCCACGCUCACAAGUGAUAGACUGAUAGCGGACACACCUCUGGACUCCGAUAACAUAUGCGUUCGUUGUCGUUAUCGCCGGCCGUCGUCGUUCACGGCGGGGACUGACCUGAAGCUCUUCACUGGGAUGCGCCGCCACCAGAGCCACCGGGAGCUGUAGCUUCCUCGCUGUCCCCUUGAGCGUCGUGCACGUACUCCACUGGUCCAUCUUCUUGCUAGGAUUGGAUAUGCAGCAAUUGGAAGCAAUUCAACAUGCUUGCUGCCUGUGGAACUUGGAAAAUAUGGAUGCACCAAGACCAAGUAGUAGCAUAACACGAUUACAGUUACAAUGAGCAGCAAGCAAAGCUUGCGUUCUGAACUUCUGAUUCGAUCGACUAUGCAGCAAGCAACGUAUUACGUAAAGUACGCAUUCAAUCAGCUGGUUUUCUACGGAAA